rnacentral:rRNA from 1 species
CCUACGGGAGGCAGCAGUGAGGAAUAUUGGUCAAUGGUCGGGAGACUGAACCAGCCAAGCCGCGUGAGGGAUGAAGGUACAGAGUAUCGUAAACCUCUUUUGUCAGGGAACAAAGGCGGGGACGUGUCCCCGGAUGAGUGUACCUGAAGAAAAAGCAUCGGCUAACUCCGUGCCAGCAGCCGCGGUAAUACGGAGGAUGCGAGCGUUAUCCGGUUUUAUUGGGUUAAAAGGGUGCGCAGGCGGUCUGUUAAGUCAGCGGUCAAAGCCCGGGGCACAACCCCGGCCCGCCGUUGAAACUGGCAGUCGCGAGUUGGAGAGAAGUAUGCGGAAUGCGCGGUGUAGCGGUGAAAUGCAUAGAUAUCGCGCAGAACUCCGAUUGCGAAGGCAGCAUGCCGGCUCCACACUGACGCUGAGGCACGAAAGCGUGGGUAUCGAACAGGAUUAGAUACCCGGGUAGUC